UGACCUCCAAUGGUUGGAUGCUUAAUUUAUAACUUUAAUUAAAUCAAGAAAGAUUUUCUUGAUUUUAUUCAUUAAGAAUUCUUGAAGUAAAUUUAUGAAACUAUGUGGGUUGAUUUAAGACUUUUUACUAGAUCCCAUAUGAUGGGACGUCUAGCAUUGGUUUUGAGUAUGGGUGAGUUUUGGGUGGCAUCCUAUUUAUUUGAUCCAAGUAUAUUUAAGCUAGGACUUCUAAUAUGAUUAGGAGGAAAGAUCUUAAUUUGAUUAGGACAUCCUUAUGUUGCCUAUAUAAAGGACUCUAUCUUUACUCUUCUCAUCAUCUCACUUCCUUCCAUCUUUGUCGCCACCCUUACUGUGCCCACGCCCCCUCCUCUCUCUAGUCCACGCCUUAUCUCUCUAGGCGUCGUUCUUGGAGUUAGGGAGAAGAGGGCGGCAUCCUUCUACUUGGUGUCAAUUGGUUGGCGUCAAGUUUUAGGUAGUUUCAUCCUUUUUUUCUGAAGUUGUUGGGAGUUAGUUACAACCACUACUUGGUUGUUGUUCUUUUUGAUUAGUUGAGGGAUCAAGAAAAGUUCUCGAUUUUUUUAAGAAUCAAAAAAGGAAGAUCAAAAGGGUUCACAAUUUUAAGUCUAUCCAGCCUUGGUUCAAGCCAAUUCAGGCUUUUAGUUCAAGCAAGCAGAAUUCAAGAAAAAAUAAUUGAGGUCGGUUCUGUGGAUAUCCAUAGAGGCAGGAUGCUUAUGUUGCUGAUUCAGAGCUUGAGCAAUCUCAGAUCCAGGGAUUGAAUUGGAUUCAAUCCCAAUUACAGAUUUGAAGCAAAGGAAAAGCGAUUCAGGCAAAUAGCUCCAGCAUAGCCUCUUAUCGAUUCAAGACUCAGAAAUUCAGGGGACCUACUCAUUCAGGGUUGACAUUUGGUAAAUAUUGCCAUAUACUUGCAUUGCAGCUGAAUUGAUGAGGGUGUAAUCGAUCCGAAGCUUUCUAGUGCAGAUUCAUAAACCAACUCUUUAUAGAUGGCAUCUGAGAUGGUUGUCUGUUCACCUGAAGUCUGCGGAAUUCACGGAAAUACCCAAUGCAACAUGAUGUCAACGCCUUCAGACAUGGUUUGGCUAUGUAGUCUAAAACCUCGAGCAACUAUUUGCUGGUUAAUCUGGAACCCUGAAAUCCAAUUUGCACGGCUUUAUUUUUCCUAACCAUAAAUCACGAAAAGUAAUUUGCUCAAUAGAGGGAAAUUUAUCUCUUGAA